rnacentral:lncRNA from 1 species
AAAACUUCACCAGUGACAUUAAAAAAGAGAGAGAGAUAAGAAUCUAAUAAAAAUGGCAGCAUGGUCUUGUACAUGUUAAAUAGUUGAGAAAUACAUAAAUGUAGAAUAAACGUGGCCCUUUCAAAAACUCGAGUUUGCUUGUGGAAGUGGGCACCAGAAGGGCUGCAGUUUGUGGGCUAUGGUGAAGGAGUGAAAGGAUGUUUAUUAGAAACCAGGCAGAAAGGUGUAACCCCAGACCUGGCUGAGUGUGCUCAUAACACACAUGGUGACCUGAGGCAGCUGAUGGAUAUCUGAGGGGUGUGUGUGUGUGUGUGUGUGUGUGUCGUGUAUUCCUAAACGAGAUGCAGUUUUCUGCCUCCAUCUAGUGUUUCUUGAGGUAUGAUCAAAAUAGUUCCCAGUAUCUCCAUAGGGUGGGAACUCAUUUGAAUUUUCAAAGCAAAGACUACAUAUGUUGUUGAACUAUGUCUUGGACAAUUCCAUCAUUUAGUGCCCAUGGGCACUUGGUCACCAAUUCCCAUGCAUUUUUCUCCUAUUCAUAUAUGUGUCCUCUUCUCCAUCCCCACCACCGCUGCUGCUCCAAUCCAGAUGUUCAUCACCUUCCAUGAACACAUGGAAGGUGAUGAACACUCACCUAUGUUCCUUCUACUGCAGGGCCCAUCCUACCUGCCUCAGAGGCUUGGGGACUGCCACACCUGCACUCAUGCCGCUGAGCAAACAUCAGUCGGUGAGGGCUUCUGUUACUUGGCUGGGACAUGGACCCUCAUCCUUGAGCUACUUGUUCAUUGUAAGAUGUGGCAAUGAUUGCCUUCCAAAAGGGUUGUCGUGAGGAUUAAAGGAGAAAAUCUAUGUCAAGCAUCAACAAGGCAUUGAGCACAUUCAAUAAAUGAUUAUCCUCCUUCCCCUUUCCUAUUUCUUAACUUAAAAAUAUGAUUUAAAAAUACUAAGAUUACGUGAAGUGACUACACUUCCUGUAGCAUCCAGCCAAAUCCUUUGAAAAGGGCUCAGAAGACCCUCUCAACCUGGAUCGGCACCGCUUUCAGCCUCGUCAGUUCUUUAUCCCUAGCCCAGCUCCCAGGUCACCUUCUUUUUGAAAUCUUCCCAACUCCCUCCCUCAUGCAGAAAAAACUUGUCUUUGUUGUUCAAGCCACUCAGAGUUAGGUUUUCUGUCACUUUUAGUGGCACACAUCUUGAUGAAAAUUGCCAUCAGAGUUAUUUAUGAGUCUCUCUCCCCAGUGAUGUUGAGAACCCCAAAGAACUUCUUUGAUGUUAUAUUCCCAGCACUAGGAAGCACAUGCCACAUACUGGAUGCUCAGCAAAUAUGUGUUGUAAGUACGCAUGCAUGUAUGUUUAUAUAUAUAUAUACAUGAACAGAUGGAUGAAUCUCCCAGCAUCCUGCCUAUUGUAUUUUCCGGUACUUGCCUCCUUCUCACAGAUCCUGCUAAUCGUGGAAUCCUGGCAUUAGUUUAAAGAUCAAGAGGAGGUAAGGUGUUUAGACAAGAAGUCCAGAAAGCCAUAAAAUGGAAAAGCAGCCAAGACUGGUAUCCUGGGAAUGCCUCAAGGUUAACCAGGGUUCUUUCCAAUGUCCCACAGCUGCUUCCAUUCUCAACUCUGGCGAGAGCCUAAAGAUAAGCUAUACAUAGGAAGGCACCUGUGCAUUAACUCCAAGUAGCAAGGAUAACAUUUUGUAACAAAAUUGGAGAAUGAUGACCUACAUUCCCAAACCACUGAAGUACCAACAAGCAAUCACUGAAGGGCUUGAAACCAGGGCCAACUUUUCUUUGCAGCAAGUAGUGUGCUAUAAACUGACUCUGGAAGGAAAGCUGUGAUUCGUAAUGUUUGUCCUAAUUGUAAAUUCUGUCCCUCCCCCAGUUGAUUUUGAGCACCCAAAGGCUGAGCAGCUGGCUUGAGGGUGUAAGCUGGCUCCAGCACACUCUACCUACAGGGCAGGACUAGCUCUGCUCAAGAGGCGAAAUGAGCACUGGCCAAGGCCCUAGAAUUCCAAAGCACAUGGGGCUCUGGUUCUCUCUUUCAGCAGUGGCACCUCCAUCUAUGCAGGCACCCGAGGGUAAAAGCCAUGGAGAGCUCUUCUACACGAUCUUCUGCCCUCUUCGGAGCAACGACCACAUCUGUUCUCUUCCACCUACUUAUUUCCAUCCCUUCUGCUCCUGCCAGGUCCAGGCCUUUAUCUUCUCUUGCCCAGACAUGAUCUCCUCCUUGGUCUGCCUUCAUCCACUCUUGCCCCCUGAGUAAGUGUAUUCUUCAUACUGUGCCUGAGGCAUCCUCUGAAAAUGCAAAUCUGAUCCUAUUUGUCCUUCAGGGAAACCCUUCACUGACUCCCCGUAACUGUAGGAUUGUGACCAGUCCUCAUUACUCUAGAUGCAGCCCUAUAGUCAUGGCUCCUUCCUCAUCUAACAUUAACCCAUUACCCAGCACCUGGCUUACCAUGCUUCAGCCUUUUCGGGGUUGUUUUUGUUCCCCCAAUGAGUCCAUGCUUUUUCAUGCCUAGAGUAUUUAUAUGUGUCUUUCCCUUCCUGGAAAGCUCUUUCCCUCUUUAUUUCCUCUAUUUCUACUCAUCCCUACAUCUCAGCUUAAAAAUCUCUUCCUCCAGGAAGCCUUCCCUUGGAUUCUCAGACUAGGUCAGAUCCUCCUGUUACAAGAUUCCAAAACAUCCUACACUCCUCUUUCCAGUUACCUACCCAUCACCUGUCUUCCCCACUGGGCCAUUUGCUUUCUCACUGCUUAUGGUGAGAAAUGCUAGAUUCUAGAGAAAGCAUUUUCCACACAGCCACCAGAGGAGUCCUUCUCAAAGGCAAGUCAGUUCUUAUCACUCCUUUGUUCAAAAUUUUGAAUGGCUUGGUAACUCUGUCAGCGUAACUUCAAAAUUUGUACCAGGGGUUCUGGAUCCCUGCAGGUCUGACACCUAUCACUCUUGCCCUCUUUAAAUCUGCUCCAGCCGCACUGGCUUCCUAGCUCUUCCUUGACUGUGGCAAACACAACCCUGCCUCAGGACCUUUGCAUAUGCCAUUUCUUCUGCAAGAAAACCACAGGGCUUGUGCCCUUGUUUUCUUCAGAUCUCUGCUCAUAUGUUACCUUAUCAGAGAAGCCUUCAUGGCCUAACUUACCUGGCUCUGAUAUGUGUUUUCUUACACCACCAAGGAAUUCUCUGAUUCCCAGAGAACACUGAUUGGGUGUCCUACACAUUAAAUUAAGUUCUGACAUUACCUACCUAGAGAUAGCGUUCGAUCGCACAGGUUAAGGGCUCAGUCCCCCAAGACUGCCAUCACUUCAGACACCAGUCACAAGUCCAGGGUGUUACCUGUGCUUCUGACUGACUGGCUACAAAUUGGAGCUUCCUACAACUCUCCCCUCAGGUUUGAUUAAUUUGCUGGAGUGGCUCACAGAAGGCAGAGGAAUGUUUAUGUACAUUUAUUAGUUCAUUAUAAAGGAUAAAAAUGACCGCCAGCUGAAGAGGUCCAUGGGGUGAGGUCUAGGAGGGUCCCAAGUGUGGGAGCUUCUGUCCCCAUGCAACUGGGGUGUGCAACCUCCUCGCAGGUGAAUGCAUUCACAAACCCCUAAACUCAUCAAAUCUCAUUGUCUAAGAGUUUUUAUAGAGCUUACUCGGCAGCCCCUCCUUCCCAGUCCCAGAAGUCAGUGGGUGGGGCUGAAAGUUCCAACCUUCUAAUCUCUAGACACUUCUGGUGACCACCCCCAUCCUGAGGGCCUAAUGAGGGGGCCCCAUGCUGUCACCUCAUUAGCAUAAAUUCAGAAGUGUUCUCAAAAGGGGCUUUUUUUCUUUUUUUCUUUUUAAUGGCUGCACCCCAUUGCAUAUGGAAGUUCCCAGGCCCGGGAUUGAAUCUGAGCUGCAACCAGGACCUAUGCCGCAGCUGCAGCAAUACCAGUUCAAUUGCUGAGCCAGGCCAGGGAUUGAACCUCUGCCUCCACGGUGACCCCAGCCAUUUCAGUGAGAUUCUUAACCCACUGUGCCACAGUGGGAACUCCCAAAAGACAUUCUUGUCGCUCAAGAAAUUCCAAGGGUGGAGUUCCCAUUGUGGCACAGCAGAAACAAAUCUGACUCCUAUCCAUGAGGAUGUGGGUUUGAUUCCUGCACUUGCUCAAUGCGUCAGGGAUCCAGCGUGCCUUGAACUGCGGUGUAGUUUGCAGAUAUGGCCCAAGAUCUUGCGUUGCUGUGGCUGUUACGUCGGCCGGCAGCAGUUGCUCAGAUUCGACCUCUAGCGUGGGAACUUCCAUGUGCCGGGAGCGAGGCCCUAAAAA